rnacentral:rRNA from 1 species
UCGAGGAUCUUCGGCAAUGGGCGCAAGCCUGACCGAGCGACGCCGCGUGCGGGAUGAAGGCCUUCGGGUUGUAAACCGCUGUCAGUGGGGAGGAAGGCUCCGUGAAGAGCGGGGUUUGACCUAUCCGCAGAGGAAGCAAGGGCUAAGUUCGUGCCAGCAGCCGCGGUAAGACGAACCUUGCUAACGUUAUUCGGAAUUACUGGGCUUAAAGGGUGCGUAGGCUGUGCGGAAAGUUGGGUGUGAAAUACCUCGGCUUAACCGAGGAAUUGCGCCCAAUACUACCGUGCUCGAGUGAGACAGAGGUGAGCGGAACUUAGGGUGGAGCGGUGAAAUGCGUUGAUAUCCUAAGGAACACCGGUGGCGAAAGCGGCUCACUGGGUCUUGUCUGACGCUGAGGCACGAAAGCCAGGGUAGCGAACGGGAUUAGAUACCCCCGUAGUCC